rnacentral:rRNA from 1 species
GACGAACGCUGGCGGCGUGCUUAACACAUGCAAGUCGAACGGAAAGGCCCUGCUUUUGUGGGGUGCUCGAGUGGCGAACGGGUGAGUAACACGUGAGUAACCUGCCCUUGACUUUGGGAUAACUUCAGGAAACUGGGGCUAAUACCGGAUAGGAGCUCCUGCUGCAUGGUGGGGGUUGGAAAGUUUCGGCGGUUGAGGAUGGACUCGCGGCUUAUCAGCUUGUUGGUGGGGUAGUGGCUUACCAAGGCUUUGACGGGUAGCCGGCCUGAGAGGGUGACCGGCCACAUUGGGACUGAGAUACGGCCCAGACUCCUACGGGAGGCAGCAGUGGGGAAUAUUGCACAAUGGGCGGAAGCCUGAUGCAGCAACGCCGCGUGCGGGAUGACGGCCUUCGGGUUGUAAACCGCUUUCGCCUGUGACGAAGCGUGAGUGACGGUAAUGGGUAAAGAAGCACCGGCUAACUACGUGCCAGCAGCCGCGGUGAUACGUAGGGUGCGAGCGUUGUCCGGAUUUAUUGGGCGUAAAGGGCUCGUAGGUGGUUGAUCGCGUCGGAAGUGUAAUCUUGGGGCUUAACCCUGAGCGUGCUUUCGAUACGGGUUGACUUGAGGAAGGUAGGGGAGAAUGGAAUUCCUGGUGGAGCGGUGGAAUGCGCAGAUAUCAGGAGGAACACCAGUGGCGAAGGCGGUUCUCUGGGCCUUUCCUGACGCUGAGGAGCGAAAGCGUGGGGAGCGAACAGGCUUAGAUACCCUGGUAGUCCACGCUGUAAACGGUGGGUACUAGGUGUGGGGUCCAUUCCACGGGUUCCGUGCCGUAGCUAACGCUUUAAGUACCCCGCCUGGGGAGUACGGCCGCAAGGCUAAAACUCAAAGGAAUUGACGGGGCCCCGCACAAGCGGCGGAGCAUGCGGAUUAAUUCGAUGCAACGCGUAGAACCUUACCUGGGUUUGACAUGGAUCGGGAGUGCUCAGAGAUGGGUGUGCCUCUUUUGGGGUCGGUUCACAGGUGGUGCAUGCCUGUCGUCAGCUCGUGUCGUGAGAUGUUGGGUUAAGUCCCGCAACGAGCGCAACCCUUGUUCACUGUUGCCAGCACGUUAUGGUGGGGACUCAGUGGAGACCGCCGGGGUCAACUCGGAGGAAGGUGGGGAUGACGUCAAGUCAUCAUGCCCCUUAUGUCCAGGGCUUCACGCAUGCUACAAUGGCUGGUACAGAGAGUGGCGAGCCUGUGAGGGUGAGCGAAUCUCGGAAAGCCGGUCUCAGUUCGGAUUGGGGUCUGCAACUCGACCUCAUGAAGUCGGAGUCGCUAGUAAUCGCAGAUCAGCAACGCUGCGGUGAAUACGUUCCCGGG